AGUGGCGGACGGGUGAGUAACGCGUGGGUAACCUGCCUCAUACAGGGGGAUAACAGUUAGAAAUGACUGCUAAUACCGCAUAAGACCACAGCACCGCAUGGCGCAGGGGUAAAAACUCCGGUGGUAUGAGAUGGACCCGCGUCUGAUUAGGUAGUUGGUGGGGUAACGGCCUACCAAGCCGACGAUCAGUAGCCGACCUGAGAGGGUGACCGGCCACAUUGGGACUGAGACACGGCCCAA
rnacentral:rRNA from 1 species